rnacentral:sRNA from 1 species
GUCUACUUUCUUUUCCCAAUAGGUCUUGGUGGUGGUGGUGGUGGGGUGUACGGUGGAAGAGAAAGACUGGGUAGCACCGAGUCAGCAGGAGCACGAUUUCCAUUCUCCUAGGAACACACACACACACACACACACACACACACACACACACACACACACACACACACACGCUCCUCGCGCGCGCGCGGACCAACGUCAUUUAAACCUAGAACCAGAGCCAAAGCUAGACUAAUAUCUCCCAUGGACGCCUUCUUUUGCACUAUAGUUAGAAUUACAGCGCACAGGUGUCCGGUGCGGAUACUUUUGUUGUCAAAUAAAGACCCUUGCCUUCCCCCCUUCACCCAGUAACAAAGAUCCCUUAAGCUCCAGAUCCAAUUUUAUCCCAAUCUUUCUCAAAAGACUCCGGGAGAGGCAGACUCAACCUACGCCCUGGCUUUUGAGCAACUCCAGUAGCAGAGUUUCCUUAUCUAACAGCUCAGCGCUCUGAACUGCAAACAAAACUCUGGAAGCGUGUGUCACACUGACACUCGGGUGCGCACAAAGCUUUUGGAUCAGAAAACCUGGAGCUUUCGUACGCAGACCUUCGCCUUGUGCGAGGCUGCAGGAAGGCAAGACCCAGGGCCAAUGCACCCGCGGCGGGGAUCUGCCAGGAGACAGAACAUCGUGCCUCCAAGUCCCAAGGAGUUGGAUGAAUUGCCAGCAUUCGCGCCGCGCCUGCGAGCUGGUUAGCAGAGAUCUAAGCUCAAACUCCGGUCUGGGAGGAGAGACCAGCGAGCACUGCCUGGAGUGGGUCGCACGCCGGCACAGCACAGCGAAUCAAAAGUUAAUGCGGGAGUUCAAACCUCCAAGCCGCGGAAGAACUCAGCUGCUUUGAAAGGACUUAAGGCAGUGUGUGGAGGACGUCUCCCUUCUCCGUCGGUAAAGAGAGGUACAUCCACCCUGGGAUGGGAUUACCCCUCCCCUCCUCCUCCUCUUUCUGCUCUUCUUCUAGCCCCAGCAGCUGCUUGAUGGAGACCUCUUCUCCCCGCAUCUGAAUGGAACGUCUUUGCUCAGAGUCUACAGAAUGUCAAAACUGAGGCUCCUCAGAGCUACAGCUUUAAGAACCACUCCACACAAAGAGGCAGCUGGUUGCUUUAACGGAAACUGCCUUUAAGCUUCAAGAACUGAAGUCUUGGGGAAUACAUUUAUAAGGAGCAGAGAAAAAUGCAUUUCCAAGCUGUAUGUUCUUGGGAAAUACAAAAUAAAAUUUACCUGAAAAAAUGAGAAUUAACCUUAAUUAUGUAGCUGUUGAUUAAAGACGCCCCCAUUUAGAAUUUUAUGUUCCAUCUAUAAAUGCAUUUUGCAAAUUGCUGAUUGCUUAUCUGUACCCAUAUCAAAGGAAAAACAAAACAAAACAAAACAAAGGUGAAGCAUUAGAUUUCUGAAAGUUGAAGCACCUUAACUCAUCCACUUGGCAAGUUAAUUUGUUGUUUGCUUGUGUGCACACAAUUUUGUUUAUUUUUAACUCCCAAGUAGUCCAUUGCAAUGCACGUUCAGUGGCAUUUGACAUUGACGUUGUUUGAAUCCAUGGGUAUUCAUUUCUUUUCCCUUCUUCAAGCUACAGAUCUCAUCAUUAAAAAUGCCCCACUCUUUGUAGUCCCAAAGUGAAUAUUUUAUAAACAGGUUCGAAGACUUCUAACAUCAUAUCACCCAGGCAGUGUAAGCUGUUUCCUGGAUUACUUAGAGUAAAUUGUCAAAGGAAAGCCUGCUAAAUUUUGAGUGUUGAAUGUGAGGCCAGAAGAACGUAUAAAAUAUAAAGGAGACAUUUCAGGGACAAGCUAGACAGACCCUGUGUGGAGGAGUUAAAAUCUCAGGAACAGAACAUGAAGGGCUUGUGCCUUUUUAGUUCACUUCCUUGAAAUUCCGUUGUCAAAGUACCAAAGGUUAAAUAAAUUUCUAACAAUGAAACCUGAA